rnacentral:rRNA from 1 species
CCCUACGGGGCGCAGCAGGCGCGAAAACUUUACAAUGCGGGAAACCGUGAUAAGGGAACACCGAGUGCCAGCAUCAUAUGCUGGCUGUCCAGAUGUGUAAACUACAUCUGUUAGCAAGGGCCGGGCAAGACCGGUGCCAGCCGCCGCGGUAACACCGGCGGCCCGAGUGGUGACCGUUAUUAUUGGGUCUAAAGGGUCCGUAGCCGGUUUGGUCAGUCCUCCGGGAAAUCUGAUAGCUUAACUGUUAGGCUUUCGGGGGAUACUGCCAGGCUUGGAACCGGGAGAGGUAAGAGGUACUACAGGGGUAGGAGUGAAAUCUUGUAAUCCCUGUGAGACCACCUGUGGCGAAGGCGUCUUACCAGAACGGGUUCGACGGUGAGGGACGAAAGCUGGGGGCACGAACCGGAUUAGAUACCCGGGUAGUCCCAGCCGUAAACUAUGCUCGCUAGGUGUCAGGCAUGGCGCGACCGUGUCUGGUGCCGCAGGGAAGCCGUGAAGCGAGUCACCUGGGAAGUACGGCCGCAAGGCUGAAACUUAAAGGAAUUGGCGGGGGAGCACAACAACGGGUGGAGCCUGCGGUUUAAUUGGACUCAACGCCGGACAACUCACCGGGAACGACA